rnacentral:rRNA from 1 species
UACGUAGGGUGCGAGCGUUAAUCGGAAUUACUGGGCGUAAAGGGUGCGCAGGCUGAUAUACAAGUUAGAUGUGAAAUACCCGAGCUUAACUUGGGAGGUGCAUUUAAGACUGUAUGUCUAGAGUUAGUCAGAGGAUGGGAGAAUUCCGAGUGUAGCAGUGAAAUGCGUAGAGAUUCGGAGGAAUACCGGUGGCGAAGGCGCCCAUCUGGGAUAUAACUGACGCUCAUGCACGAAAGCGUGGGGAGCAAACAGG